rnacentral:rRNA from 1 species
AUUGAACGCUGGCGGCAGGCUUAACACAUGCAAGUCGAACGCAUCCUUCGGGGUGAGUGGCAGACGGGUGAGUAACGCGUGGGAACGUGCCCUUCAGUUCGGGAUAACCCAGGGAAACUUGGGCUAAUACCGGAUACGUGCGAGAGCAGAAAGAUUUAUCGCUGAAGGAUCGGCCCGCGUCUGAUUAGCUAGUUGGUGGGGUGAUGGCCCACCAAGGCGACGAUCAGUAGCUGGUCUGAGAGGAUGAUCAGCCACAUUGGGACUGAGACACGGCCCAAACUCCUACGGGAGGCAGCAGUGGGGAAUAUUGGACAAUGGGCGCAAGCCUGAUCCAGCCAUGCCGCGUGAGUGAUGAAGGCCUUAGGGUUGUAAAGCUCUUUCGUCCGGGACGAUAAUGACGGUACCGGAAGAAGAAGCCCCGGCUAACUUCGUGCCAGCAGCCGCCGUAA